AGAGAUUUUGAUCAGUGAGGCUGUUGACAAUAAAUUUAGAAAAACUUGUUUUAGUCACUUUUUAAACUUCAAAAAAGAUGUAGCGCCUACAACUCUUUCCAUUGAAGUUGAUACAUAGCAUUUUUCUUUGCUGGGUCUUCUGUUAAAAGAAAAAGAAGAUCUAGAAUGACUAUAAUGGUUUGCCUAUUUGUUUUGGCAUUAACGAAUUCAUUGUCAUGACUAGACUCCAAUGUCACUCUCCCCUCCCUGCACCCCUUAGUCAACAGUUAGCAGAAAUUUUGAAAAAAGAGGGUGCAAAUUUGGUUGAUAAGUGGGGAAGUCUAUUGUACUUGUUAAAGAAUGACAAAAGUCUCACAUCGGUGGUUAAUGAGAUGGGUGGACUCCUUAUAAGGCUUGUGCAAUCCUCCUCCCUUUGAGCUAGCCUUUGGGGUGUGAGUUAGGCCCAAGACCUAAUUUAACAGUACUCAUUGAAAAGAUAAAGAAUCCAAGGAUGAUGAAAAAACUGGCAGUGAGCGUGGUUUGGUUCUUGCAUAGCAUAUUAUGAGCAAAAGAUAAUCAUUGACUUGUUAAAAGUGGUGUCGAGUAAAAAUGAAUUCUUUUCAUAUCCAUGGGGUCGAAUGCGCUUCAAUCUUUCUAUAUCAUUUAGAAGAACUGAAUUCAUCCAAGAAUAUAAGGAGAUCACCUUUCUAUUGGAUCUUGGAUGGAUUCAAUUCUUUUAAAAGAUAUUCAAUAGUAAGAUUGAAGAUUAUUUGAUUCCCAUGAAUAUGAAUCGAAUAUAUUUUUAUUCGAAGCCAUCUUUAACAGGUUGGUGUCUAUCUUUUUUUGUAUCUUUUGCACAUAAUAUAUUAUGCAGGAACCAAACCGCUCACUGUCAUCGUUUACUUUUUUGUCAGCUUUGGAUCAUUUCUAUUCUAAAUGAGCUCAAUAGACUUCUCCACUAUAUCAACCAAAUUCACAUCUUUUUUUUCCCAAUCUUUGUUAAUUGCUAACUGAAGAAGGGAGGGGGGGUUAGAGAAUGACAUAAGAGUCCAAUCAUUAUAACUAAUACAUUGAUCCCAAAACAAAUACGCAAGUCACUGUAACCACACCAAAUCUACUACUUCCUCUGUCCCAAUUUAUGCGACUUACUUUCCUUUUUAGUCAGUCCCAAAAAGAAUGACACAUUUCUAUAUUAAGUAAUAAUUUAACUAUAAAACGUCUAGUUUACUCUUAAUAAAAUAAUUUACAGCCACACAAAAUUUUAUCAUUCAUUUUGGACCACAAGAUUUAAAAGUCUUCCCUACUUUCUUAAACUCCGUGCCAAGUCAAACUACCUCACAUAAAAUGGGACGGAGAGAGUAUUUCUUUUCACAAAAGACUCCGCAAAGAAGAAGGCUACGCAUCAGCUUCAGAGGGAGUUGUAGCUCCAUAUCUUUGUUCAAGGUUAAAAAGCGACCAAAACAAGUUUUUUAUAAUAUCCUUCUUAAUACCCUCACUGAUCAAAACAUUUUUAAACUCAACAAAUUGAGUUCCAAAGUUGACACUCACAGUGACCCAUGAAUAAUAAGGCAUGACACGUUCAAGUGGGUCUUAAAAUCCAUACUUUUCACGUCAAUAGUCUUGAUACAUUACUAGAACCGAAAGAGCCUCAGGAUCACAGUCAUCAUUUGAGUAUACAGUACCUUUAAAAUUAUCAUAGCCACCAACAUCAUUAUUUGACCUAGCAACAGCUGCUAAUUGGGCAUCCUUUUUUAAUCAUGUUGUUUUUAUCUAUUUUCUGUUCUUUCUAAUGUAGCUGCCGCUGAAUCCUCAACCAAAUUUUUUGCUGAUGUGCUCUCAUUUCUUUCUUCUUCUCCUUUAGAUGAAUGCUCACUUGUACUAUGAUCAACUUUUCUUCAAAUCAUCAAUCAUCUGUCUUUAUCUUCUUCUUCACACAACUGCUCAGUUGCACUCUCACCAUUUUUUUUCUUCUUUGCCUGACUGUUCACCGCUACUCUCAUGUGUUUCUUUUUCACCAACUAAUUGCUCAUUACUUAAAGGCACCACAAUUUCCGAAGGUACAAAAUCAAGAGCCUUAGUUGUUUGUUCAGCUUUGUUUGCUUCCUUAGUCAACUUUUCCAGUGAUGUGGUAGCUUGUUUACUAUGUGUACCACAGCCAACUGUCAUAACCACUAGCCACCAUUUAUAGUCAUCACCAUCAAUUAUCAUUACCAUAUAAUAGCCACCAAUCACUAUCGACAACAAUAACCACCAUUAGUCACCACUAUAUAUUUUCUCAAUAGGUACCAGGUAACUCUGUCCCACCAAGGCUAGAACAGAUAGGAAGAGUCACCUAAUAUUUUUGUCUUUGGUGGGAUUUGAACGUGAGACCUCAUGACUCUCAACCACUUCAUUGACCACUAGACCACACCCUUGGGUGACCAUCAAUCGUCACUAUAUAUAACCAACCAACAUCAUCAUUCACCACUAGCAUAAGCUAUCACUAUCAUCCACCACAAUUAUCAACUACCCCAAUUAACAACCAUCGUUAACCACUACUACAAGUCGACUGUCAUCUCUAGCUACUACCUACAACCACCACCAUCAGUCAACACCAUUCUUAAUCGGCACCCACAACCACUAUCGCUAUCCAUCAGCACCACCAACCAUUAUACAAUUUUUUAAAACUAUUUUUGUAGUAUUACAUUUAUUUAGUAUUUUAUAUGAAUUUUACAUUUAUUACUCUAUGUCUCUAUCUAUCCUAAUGCAUGUGACACUUUUUGGAUUUCGAAAGUCAAAUGAGCUAUUUUUGGACCACAAAUUUUUUCAUACACCUAGAAAAUAUUUUGAAUUGUCACUUAUUGUGAUCUGUAGUUCUUUUUACAUAGUUCUCAAAAAUGUAAAUUUUAUUUAUAAAUACUUAAAGAUUGCAUGUACGAAUUAACAAUCAAAAUUCAAAACUGGGUCUCGAAGUUCAAACUGAGUACAUAAAUUGGGACUGAGGGGAUAAUUUUUAAAUAAAAGACAACUUCUAUACAUUCAGAUGUUGAGAAGACAAACAAUUUAAAUUAUUUAGUAUUCAUAUUUCAGUAUUUAGAUAUAUCUAUAUCCUAAUGUACAUCUUGAUAUUUAGAUUCAUACAUUUUAAUCUUAAUAAAAACAUAUGAGUUCAUUUUGUCAUAAAUCUUAAUCAUUCAGAAUUAUUCAGACUUAUUAAAUGACCUUGCACCUUUUCAUUUGAAUGGGAAAAGAAAACCAAAAACAAGAACAAGAAGUGAAUAGUCAAAAUUUUCCUUCAAAGUUCUAAAAUUCUUUUGAAAUAUGGUUACCAAUGAAGAAAAGUGUAGGCUUACGCACAACUGUCCUAGUACUUCCUAGUUUAAUCAAACUUCAGAAAAAUACAAGAAAUGUCAAACAUGUUGCACUUUCUAUCACUUGGGAGUUUGGACCAGACAAGUUUUGUUGAUAAACUAGUUAUUUAUGCCCUGCAUUCUUUUAUAAUUAUGAAGAUUUAGAACCUAAUAGUUGAUAACUAGCAGUGCAAUGCCUCUGAAUAUGAUGCAAUUCUACUAUUAACUGUGAUGCCUAUGGGAAUCAUAUUUGGAGUUCAAGCUGUUAAAUAAAACCUCAGUGACAUAUGUGUUCCAGGCAUUGAAACAUGAGGGUGGAAGAUUAGCAAAGAAAUGUAGACCACCUAAUUGUGAAAUAUGGGUCAGGGGUUUGACUCACAAGCAGGCCUCCAUUCUUAUAAAGGGUAAUAUGAUGUACAACCUCACCCCCCAUCCCCAAACAAAAAACCACUACUAGCAAGGGCAUUUACACUAGACUGUCAAUAGAUAUGAACAUUCAUGGCUUUAGGUGAUAAGAAAAAAUAAGUUGAUAAUUGUACUUCAAUUGACAAGCUAUGGCCAGUCUGCAGAAUAGCUUCAGGAGCCAUCCAGUAUGGCGUACCCUUCAUUGACUUUGUAACGGUCAUAAUAGCAAGCCUAAAACAGUUUGACAAUUCAGUUGUCAAUAAAUAUCUCAAGAAGCAAAAACAAAAUGAAUAAGGCAGCGAAGCCAGAAAUGCCCCUACCAAUUCAACAACCUUCUUUCAUACACCAAAUUCAAAGAUAGUUUGAUGCAGCCUUUAAUGUAAACUGGUAUGUUUACUCCCUAGAUGAAUUAAAACACACAUCUCAUUGGAUUCAGUAUGAAAUGGAGAUUCGUGAAUGGAGUAGAGCAAGUUAGAAUAUCCAAUAACUAACAUACUGAAUGAAAGAAUUACCUUAAUAAUAAUUGCAUGGUAUACAUUCUUAUAACCUGAUUUGCCAAACAAAAGAUGGAGCAAGAAGAUUUCAGGAAUUUAAAAGGCAACAUUGUGUUCCAAUAAGCAUAUGUUCUAGUUCCAGUUGCAUCAUGUUAAGGCAUAUGGAAAUAAACAACUAAUGGUACAGAUGGAAAGCAAAAGACCACAGAAAGGUGUUGUUCACUAAUUUAUCAGCCAAACAACCCACAAGAAUAAGUUUAUUAUUAAAAAAGUAAGAAAAAGGAAACAAAACAAGGUGUUUAACCUCCCUUAUUUCAUUUAGCGAGAAUAGUAGCAAGCACUUAUAGAUUCAGGGAAAGAUCCAAGUUUUCCCAAAAAAUGACAAGAUUGAAUCCCCAGGAACAAAUUCCAGUAAUUUAUUUAAUGAUCAUGCCUUUCUUGCAGUUCUCAGAUAUGCCUGAGAAGCAAUACUGCAACAACACAUACCCAGUGUAAUCCCAAAAGUUGUAUCCGAAAAGGGUAGAAUGUAUGCAGACCUUAUCCCCAGGCAGAGAGGUUGCUUCCAGUAGACCCUCGACACAAGGAAAAACAUUUCAAAGUAAGUCGAAAAAGAAAUAACGAGAUCUCUGAGAAGCAAAAAGCAAUAGAACAGUAAAACAAUCUUCAUCACACCCUAACUUGAGACAAUAUAGAACCAUGCUAACGAUUAUGUUGGAAUGGGAGAGAUUCUUAAAAACUAAGUUGCUCGGACUCUCCGAAAAUGAUGCCGAACCCGUGUCGGAUCCUUCAAAGUUACACUAUUUUUGGAGGAUCUGACACGCACCCGUUGUCGACAUUUUGGAAGAGUCCGAGCAACAUAGCUUAAAAAUAUCCAGUUCUUCUUCAAGCUCCCCAAACAUGAGUCAGACUCUUAAAAUUGUCAAUUUCUCAGGUUGCACCCAUUGAGAUUUUUUAAAGCAAGAAGCCAGGAUCCUUGACGUAGAACUCACAAAGUCAUUUAUCAGGGAAAAAGUAACUAAUGUACUUGGCAUUGGGAAAUUUUUUCUUUAAAUUUUGUCUUAAGAAAUCAUUUUUGGUCCAAAGGGUGGGUGACAAACGGAUUUCUCGGUUAUCAAAAAAAAAAAAUAGUAAGUGACAUAUGAUAAUCGUACAAGGUGGAAUUUAGAGUAUGAGGAGAAUAUUUGGUGAUACUUUUGAUGUGAAAAAUUGUGAACAACAUCCAAUUGUUAACUGAACUAAACCACAAUUUGAAAGGCAAAAAAAUUUCAUUCAUAUGUGAUGGAAAUCAAUCACCUUUAGUGAAAAAUAUAACAAUUCUAUGCAACGAAACACUAGAAAUUGAUUUCAUCAAUAAAAACAUUCUCUUACAAAUCAUUCUCAAUUUUAUCAAACGCAAUCCAUAAUUAACUAGUUUAAUAUUUAUGCAACAAUUUAACUCAAUUUUGUCCCCUCACCCUAUCUAAAGGGAUAAGGAACAACAUUAAGCUAUUACGUCAAUCAAAAUCUCUUACUUCCCAUUGAAGCACCAUUAGCAGCAAAAGAAACAUUCAUUUUGGAAAAUCCCAAAUUUCAGCAGCAUAAACACAUAUUUCCUUUUCCAACCGUGAUAACGUAAAAAAAAGUUGACAGAGAAGCAGUUAAAGCGGAAAUUUUACCUCCGACCAUGCGAGCGAGUAACUCUCUGGAAUCAACAUUCAUCCCCCAUAUAAACCCUUCCAAAAGCACCGCAUCUUGCAAUUGGCGGAAGAGCACAUAUUCGAGUCUUUGACAAAAGUCCAUACUUGAUUUCGGAACCAAUCUUCGCCUCCAAAGGACUCUCAUUUUCCAAUUCUCUGCAUUUUGCGACAGAAUUGGGAGGAGACAACUAAAACUUUGAGGAGUGGAAGAGGUGACAGAAAAAAAAUGUGUCUACUAAAAACAUAAAUACCUACUUGGAACCGUAAUUUUGAACCCCUAAAUUACUGCACAAAUUCUUAAAUCUUCUAUCUAUCUAUCUAUCUAUCUAUCUAUCUGUCUAUAUUAUAUUACCUUAAAAAAAGCAUGAAUUCUUAACUUAAAUGUUAAAUUACUAUAGUAUCCCUAAUUUAGGUUGUCACUUUUUCGAUGAGUUGUGACUUUUUCGAUAAGUUGUGACUUUUUUCGAAGGAUUGUGAUUUGUCGAUAAGUUGUGACUUUUUCAAUAAGUUGUUACUUUUCGAAAGAGUUGUGACUUUUCAAUAAGUUAUGACUUUUCCCAAGGGUUGUGACUUCUCGAAAAGGUCAUGACUUUUCAGAUAAGACACAAAAAACAUUUGUUCAUAUUACCCUUUGUUGACUAUAAAUAGAGGGGUUUCCUCUCAGUUUUCAACCACAAUUUUUUUUAAUCUUCUACUCUUCUUCUUGCAUUUUAAAAUUUUUUGUGUGAUUUAUUGUCGUUGAGUGAGUUCAAAAUUUAGCGAAAUGUGAGGUACCACUAUUCUGAUGAAGUAAGUCGUUCUAUCCUAAGAGAGUAUAUUCCAUAACCUCGAGUACUUGAGGAAAUAAUUUGAUGAUAUAAUAAUUAUUUUUUCGCUUAAUAUAUACAUCAGUAUGUAACGUUCCAAAUGAUGUAGUCUAAAUUCAUUUAUUUUUGUUAGCAAUUUCUCUUGUGAUAUAAAUAUAUGCUUCUGAAUAUCUUUUCCAAAAUUUAGAGAAUUGUCACGAUUUUUUUUUAUGCUCAAGACAAAUGAAUGACUUUAUUUAUCAAUGUUACUUAUGUGAUUUAGACUCUCAGGAUUUUUUCUUCAAAAUAAUUAUUACUAUAUUAACAUUGUCCUUUUGUUUUACUUAUUUACUAAUUCUUAAUAUUUCAGUAUUUUAGACGAGGAAAAGUUCAUAUGACUUGUAAUAAUGCCGGUUGAAGUUUGUAUUAGUAAUUUUUAUUAUUUAUUUAAUAGUUAAUUUUAUGAGAUAAAUAUUUUCAUUAAUGCAAAUAUAUAUUUAUAUUUGGGUAGGUAUUUGUAUUUAAAUUAAAGUAUUAUAUAUGUCACAAAUGUAUUAUCAAGUUAACAAGAUAAUCUAACUUCAAAAUAUAUUAUUUUAAAAUGUUCCGAGUUUUCACAACAAAUGUGAAAAAUAUGUGAAUAUAUAAAAUGUAGUUGUUCACUUCACAUGUUCAUAUGACAUCUAAACAAUUUAAUGUGAAAUACACAUGCAAAACACAUCUGGUUAGAUGACAACAAAAAUACAAAGUAAAUAUUGCCAUAAGGUAAUAUUAGUGGCAUAAGAGGUUUGCCUGAAUAAGAGAUAUAUAUAUGACGAUCCACAUUGAACAUUCACAAAAGAAUGUGCAAUAUUAUUUUUUGCUAAGCUUAUUAUUCAAAUCUUUGCUUAAAUAAGCACUACUAUUUACUAUAACAUAUAUUUUUGAAUUGGUAUUCACGUGCAAUGCACGUGUCAAAAACUAGUAUAUAUAUAUAUUUAUUUAUUUAUUUAUUUUCACGGUGUAUUGUAUAAUAUAGUAUGUGAUGUAGUAAAAUGGAAUUAAUAUUACUAUAUUAAAGCUUGAAAGAACAUAAGAAAAAUGCUUUUAAAUGAUUAAUACAGAUUGUCAGAGAGUUACUUGUUUUUUAAGAUCAAAAUGACCAGAUAUCAUUAAAACAUUUCAAAAUACAUUCAAAGUUUAAAUAUGGGGAAAAAGUGUCAUUUCUUUAGUAGUAUUGUCUUUUACCUCAUUCAAUUUUAUAAACAAAAUUAACCAACGAAAUAGAAAAAGAAAUAUCAAUAUAAAAAAGAUCACCAAUAACUUUUUCUCUUGAGGUUAUGACCAUAAAUGAUGGACACCAGUAAUUACAAUUUUUCUCUUAAAUAUUCAUACUUAAAAAUUGGUAUGUGCAUGACACUAAUAAUGAUUACCAUAAAUAUUUUAAUAUUUUAUCUUUACACGUAGUAUAUCAUUACAAAAUGUUAUUACUCAAUUAAUAUUUGAGUAAGGCUAUUAUAGAGCAAAAUUUUAUUUAAAAAAUGUACUUGUAUAAUGAAUGUCAACACUCUUAUAAUAGAAUGUUAUAGAGACAAAAAAUAUAACAUAAAAAAAUUGUUCUAAAAAAAAUUAGGUUGUUACACUGAAAUUUUGGUAUAAUGAAUUAUAGUUACAUAGAGGUUUGAGUGUAUGUCAUAUAUUUAGUUUGACCAACUCUUUGUUUUAGAUCUAUAUAUUUCACUACCAUAAUUUAAUGUUAAUAUAUGAACAACAUCACCUAUGGUGAAAAAUAUUUCAUUUCUUUAAGUUUCUACUUUAUCUCUGUGGAAUUUUAGUCUUCUCCUUUUUUCUACCGCAUACAUAUCAUAUAGUUGUUGUCUAAUGAAAGUCUCUAGUAUCUUAUAUAAGUUGUAUCGUGAUAUAAAAUAUUAUACUUUUUCAAUAAAAAAAUUAAUAGAUGAAUAAAAUUUAAAGUAUUAUUUAUAGAAUCUUUAAUUUGAUUUAAGAUCAUUUUAUGAUCAAUCGGAAUUUUUUAAAUCUAUUUUUAUAUAGCUAGCACAAAGUGUAUCUUGUGAAAUAACAUUUUUUAAGAUUAAAAUAAACACAAAAUAAAAGUAAAUUCAUACCUAAAAUUAUUUAAACUCAAUAUAAAUAUAAAAAUGAAAAAAUAUAUGGACAAUUCAUAGCCAAUGAAGAAGGUAGCGAAAAAUAUAUGUUCAUGUUAUAUUCUCUCUAGUAUUAUAUUUGAUUGAAAUCUCUUGCCACCAAUACUUUAUUUUCUCUGUUCAUUUUUACUUACAUAUUUCUUACAAAUAAUUAUUAUCAUAACUAUGUUAUCAUAUUAUAAGUAAAAAUAAAACUCUAUUUUUGAAUUGGUGGACUUAACAUCAAAACUAAUAAUUUAAUGGACUACGUUUAUGCCCGUUGUUUUAGAAAGAUUAGGAACAAACUCCUUCGCUUGAGGGUAAACAAAUAAAGAAUGAAAAAAUAAAGAAAAAUAUUUUACCUCAAUCAUGUGUCCUUUUACGUAUUUGUUUAUUAUUGAUGAAAAAACAAAGAAGAAACAAUUGAUACAUGAUUUGCUACAAUUUGUUCACCAAUUCUUUCUUAUGUGGUACCUCGAAUUUCGUUGAAUUUCGAACUUAAUCAAUUGUUGCAAAUAAUACUUGAGACUUUUUAAGUAGAAGAAGAGUAGAAAACUUACAAAGAUUGUAGUUUAAAAGUAAGAGGAACCCCUUCUAUUUAUAGCUAACAAAUAGUAGCAUGAAUAAGUGCUAAUUGUGCCUUAUCAGAAAAGUUACAACCCUUGAAAAAAGUCACUGCUCACCGAAAAAUCACAACUCAUCGGGAAUGGCACAACCCUUUGAAGAAAUGACAAUAAUUCGAAAAAGUCACAACUCAUCAGAAAUGUCACAACCCGUCUAAAAAAUUCUCAAUCCUUCGGAAAAGUCACAACCCUUUAAUAUGAAAAGAUAUCUACUUUUAAUAUAAUACAAUUAAUUAAAUCAAUAAAUAAAACAAAUUGAGUAUUUUUAAUUAGGAUAUUAUAAUAAUUCAACAUUCAAGUUUGAGAGUUCAUGCUUUUAAGGUGGUAUAGAAGAUAUAGAUAGAUAGAUAGUUAUAGUCAUAUAUAUAUAUAUAUAUAUUAUAAAGUUUUUUUAAAAUAUUAUCUUAUAUACAUUGUAUAAUUUAUUGUCGAAAGGUUCGGGUGAACACACUAAUCUCCUCUAGAUCCACCCUUGCCUAUGCUACCAAAAAAUCCAUAGAGCUUGUAUUGUAUGUACCUACAACUUUGGGAGCGGAAGAAGAAUUAUACAGCAGAAUACUCACUUCAUCUUAAUUUGUUGAUCACUCUUUUCUUUCUUUAUUGAUGUAAAAAUUAAAAUUGAACACGAGAUACAAUAGGUAAAAGAUAAUAUUUUUGAGUCAUUUUUGGAAUCACUUCUUAAUUCUUAUAUCUUAGUCUAGUUGCCUCAUUUGUUUACACUUUAAUGAAUUCUUACAAUCUAUUUUGGUCUUAUUUAUUAAGUGUAUUUGUUUAUUUUAUAAGUACUUAAUUAGUUUGAAUGAUUAGCACUUAUACUAAUAUUUUUAUAUAAUUAAGAUAUUUAUUUAAGAAUUUUUAGAAAGAUUGUCCGUUUAACACACCUUCAUCAAUUUUUAUCGCGUGCUAAUUGGCAUUACUGCUCAUUAUUAUCAAUUAUCAUAUUCAAUCAUAACAUAUGAUAACCACCAUAUCGUCAUUCGUCAAUCACCACGAUCAGUUGUCAAUUGUCACCAUCUCUAGUCAUUAUUUAUGAUAAUCACCACUAUUACCAUAUAACAACACUGAGCGAUUCUCCACCUUAUAAUGUCCUCCCACGUUUCCCUUUCCUUGCCCCAAAAGUUUGAACUCUGGAUCAGUGCAACAUCAAUGAUGACAGGAACAUGAGCUUUCAAGAGUUAGCGUUAGAACAGAAACUGUUGCCAGGGCGAAACACAUGCAUUAUUAAUUUAUAAUUAUUGCUAGCGAAAGCCACAGGCACGCCUGGCUAAGAGUAGAAUUUACUUCAUCUCAAAAUAAAAUUUCAUUUUUACUUGUCCACUAUAUUAAAAAUAGUCACUUUUACUUAUUUAAUUUGAAAAAACAAAAAAAUAAUUUACCAUUUUAUACUUGUUUUACCUUAUUAUCAAGUACUAAUUUGGGAUGAUAUAAUAACAUUACCAUUUUAUUACUAUUUCUUAAGAGGGUACCAAAUCAAAAAUGGAGAAGGAAUAUUAUCUUCUUUCACAUCAAGCAAACUUAAUUUAAUUUUCAAAGGUCCACAUGUACUCCACUAUGUAAAGAACAACAAUGAGAGAUACAAAAAUAUCAACAUCUUCACCAAGAAAUAGUAAUAAUCACCAUGCUCUACUAAUUCCCCUAUAUAAAUCUCCCUCUCUUGCUCUUUUUACUAACCAAAUUUACUUCCUACAUAAAAAAUGGCUUCUUUUCAUAUGUACACCACUCUUUCCAUAAUCUUUUCAUUAAUCCUCUUGUCCCCUUUUUCCAAUGGAGUUUUUCAUGAAGAAAUGUCUGAUAUUCUAGCCAUGAAUUUAAGAAGUCAAAAAACAAGUCACCUCCAUUUCUACUUCCAUGAUAUCCAAAGUGGAAAAAAUCCUUCAGCAAUCAAAAUCAUUUCACCGGGUGGCGGAGGAAUAUAUGGUUUUGGCAACACUUUCAUGUGUGAUGAUGCAUUAACCAUAGGGCCUAAUGCAUCAACUGAGGUUGUAGGAAGGGCUCAAGGGAUUUACGCGAUGGCUUCACAGAGCGAAUCUGCAUUGCUUAUGACAAUGAGUUUUGAGUUCACACAAGGCAAAUAUAAUGGGAGCAGCAUAAGUAUUCUUGGGAGAAAUCCAUUUAUGAGAGAUGUUAGAGAGAUGCCUAUUGUUGGAGGCACUGCACUCUUUAGGUUUGCUAGAGGCUAUGCAUUGGCUCAUACUUUUUGGUUUGAUGCCAACACUGGAGAUGCUAUUGUGGAAUAUAAUGUGUUUGUUCAACAUUAUUGAAGUGAGAAUUUGUGCUUAUAAAGUAGUUAGUAGUCACAGGCACAAUGACUUUACUUUUUCUUAAUUAUUCCAUCUUUAGCAAGCUUGUUUAAUUUCUUCUCUCUUUUUUUUUACUUUUUCUGAAUGUUCUGAAGUGAUGUCUUAUUUAUAUCAAAGAGUUUUGCCGCUAAUGUUUUAUCAAUUCACCAAGAAAUCUAUCAACUCCAAGCACAGUAGAUAGAAAAACUUCUCAAUUAGUGGACAAACGACAAAGUAUCCACAAACUCUUGGUAAUGUAUAAAAUCAAAGAGGAACCAAAACUACAUAGUUUUUUUUAGUUCACUUGCAAAGAAGUAGAUGAAAAGUGGACAGCCUAGGGGUACAUAAGACAUCAUGAAAAAAGUUCGAUUUCACGUCGAAAUCCAUUUGUUCGAUCAAACAUCAAUUCUUGAUGAAAUUAUGUUAGAAUCUGUUUAGUAGUUACUCUCUAUUUCCUUUCUUCAAGGAAUUUGUCAAUGCUACCAUACCAAUUCCACUGGAAACAUAGACCAACAACACGUAAUAUUCCAGCAGCUAUCACUUCGAUAAAUGCCAUCAGGAAUGAUCUCUGAGGAGAUAGACCAGCAGUUGCGAUGGAAAGAAAGAAUCCCUCAAAGUUGCAGGGGACAAUGAAGUUUCCUGAUUUAAGGCCAUUCAAAGCUUUCUUUGCAACUUCAUCAGCUUUCAUGGAACCAGAAGAAGCUGCUAGUAUACUAGUCAACUGUGGCCUCCUCUUGUUCUCU
rnacentral:lncRNA from 1 species